AGCAGCGUGGCUUAGUGGAAAGAGCGCGGGCUUGGGAGUCAGAGGUCGUGGGUUCUAAUCCCAACUCUGCCG
rnacentral:tRNA from 1 species